UGGGGCAGAGCCGCGAACGGGUGAGUAACACGUGGCUAAUCUACCCCGAUGACCGGGACAACCCGAGGAAACUCGGGCUAAUACCGGAUGUGGUGCGGAGACAUAAGUCUCUUCACUAAAGGUAGCUUCGGCUUCCGCAUUGGGAGGGGCCCGCGGCCCAUUAGCUUGUUGGUGGGGUCAAGGCCUACCAAGGCAACGAUGGGUAGCUGGUCUGAGAGGACGAUCAGCCACACUGGGACUGAGACACGGCCCAGACUCCUACGGGAGGCAGCAGUGGGGAAUCUUGCGCAAUGCGCGAAAGCGUGACGCAGCAACACCGCGUGAGGGAAGAAGGCCUUAGGGUUGUAAACCUCUUUCAGAUGGGACGAAGGUUCUCCGGUGAAUAGCCGAGAGGAUUGACGGCACCGUCAGAAGAAGCUCCCCCCUCCCCCCCGUGCCAGCAGCCGCGGUAAUACAGUAGAGGAGCGAGCGUUGUCCGGAAUCAUUGGGCGUAAAGAGCGCGUAGGUGGAUCAAUUAGUCUGCUGUGAAAGUCAAAGGCUCAACCUUUGAAAGCCGGUGGAUACUGUUGAUCUAGAGUACGGAAGAGGCGAGUGGAAUUCCUGGUGUAGCGGUGGAAUGCGCAGAUAUCAGGAGGAACACCAAUAGCGAA
rnacentral:rRNA from 1 species